ACAUUUUUAAAACUUUACAGAAAUACAUAUAACUUUAAAAACUACUGGUACUUCAACUUGGAUUGAUUUAUUAUAUUGAUAUGAGUCAAACGUUGUUUAAAAAAUGUUACAAGAUUCAAAUGCAGUGUAUUGAAUUAUGAUAAUCAUUUUGUAAGUUAAGGAAAAUGAUUUCACGCUUCUAAAUUACCGGUAAUCAUCUUGCAUCAGUUUUAAAACAACUUUUAUUUUUACACAAAAAAGAGUAAAAGUGAACUCAACAAUAUUUUGAACAAAGGAAUUCAUUUCAUUUGCUUACAAGUGGGCAUGCUCUGGGGAUUAAAGGACACAUCUCAUGUUUUCAAAGUAUACAGAAUUAUAUGCAUUUUGCCAUCCUUAUGCUUAUAGAAAUUAAUUGUAAUAGUUCGUUCGCCGAAGUAUUGCGAUAAUUAGCCACAAUACGGACUUAAAUCUAAGCCCCGAUUUCAAAAAGCCUAUAGUUAAUUAGAUAGUCAAGUGGUACAGUGACGUCAUAUGCGACCUUCGUCGAUCAGCUUGUUGUAAAAGUAGUGUUAGAUAUUUUUAAAAAUCGGGUUUUAGGGGCCUAAUUUAUUUACCAUGGAUAACAUUUAUUUCGAUGUUGACAAAUAUCUCGAGUCUUAUAUCUUUUAGCCACCAGUGCAUACAAAUAGCGACCCAAAUGUAGCGAGGAAAGCGAUUACGAAAUCUGCAUUUGCGAGUAAAUAAUGUUUACAUGGGAUCGCUGUCUAAACACUAUUUGGUAAUGCUAUUUCUUUAAACAACUGUAAUUAGCGUUGUUGCUUUUCUAAAAUAAACAGUGCAAUCAUUAUUGAAUUUAUUUUUGGAUAAGUUAGAUAGGUCUAAAUUAUGAUACGAUGUAUCAUUGACAACUAGGCCUACUGCCACGGGUGCAUUUCGAAGAAAAGAAAAAAUAAAUAAAAUGAUCAAAUUUAUAGUGAAAAUCACAUUACUUUUAAAUUAUUUUAUUCAAGCAAUUUUAUUAAUCAUUAUUAUUUUUAAUCUACACGUUGUUACUUAGGAAGGGGGCGCGGCGUACUGUUGUUGUUACAUACGCGUUCCUUAAGAAAUUGAAAGCAUUAUAGUUCAAUUCAAAGUUAGGAAAUACAAUAUUUUAUUAUUUAUAAUUCCAAUUCCAAUUAUCUGUUAUCUUUAUUUUUCUUUUUUAAAGCCACCAGCUGUUAGAAACUGCGAACACAAGUUCUGCCUAUAUGUUGUUACAAGGUGAAUGUCAGUUGGUGCGAGCGAGUAUUGAAUUUGAGAACAGAAUGGAAUGCAUAUGCCAUAGACCUACAUGUAACAGUGCUUAGCUCGAUAAAACCAUUUUCUCGCAGUUUAUUUACUAGUCCAAGUGGUUUUUGAAAAAGUACAGGGGCAAAUUCUACUGGGGUUUUUUAUGGCAAAGUCGUUGUACCGACAAAAAAUAUCCACUUCUUUUCCCUCAUACCUUCCUUCGAAAAUUGAAAAAAAAAACACAGUCUAAACCCUCUCUACUGACAGCAAGUACAUCCUUAAACGGCACAAAACACCCUAAUGCAGUGUUAUUUACAAGCCGUUAAGGAUAUAACUGGGUUUUUUUUUGUCAAUUAAAUCUAAUCUGUUUAUGAAAUGGCUAACAACUGUUUUCAAAACUUCUCGCUCGAGGUCGCAUAUUACGUCACAGAUAAUGGCGCGUAAAAUAUCGAAGAAAAUAUGCAUAUCGCAAGCAUAUAAAGUAGUUUUAGGCAUGAAACGAAUUAAGUUUGCUGAAAAAAUUAAAAAGUUUAGAAACAUGCGAUGUGUCCUUUCAAUGUGUUUACCGAGAGUUAAUGGAAUAACACAGCGGGAUGCUAUGGCCAAGACUCAUACAGCCGAUCCUAGUUAUGCAAUUUUCUCGCUAUUUGAUAUGCUGUGUAGGUCAAAGUUUUGGAAAACCUAAUUAACCAUUCUUGUAAGACAAAGUCUGAGAGCUGGUGUACAGUCGGUUAAUUUAUUUUCACGAUUGAUACCCUGGAACAGGAUAUUACUGCCAUCAAGAGCCACCUCAUUUCUUAUGUGGAUGUAAAAUUUGACACUACAUUGAAAGUCUGUUACCAUCACGGAACAGGCUGAACACGGCGGGGAAGUAGAAGACUUCCAGGGCUCCUUAGAUGUGUAAAGAAGAAACUGAUAAAUGUCAUGGCCUCUCUACAGGUUGGAGAUAAUGCAGGAGAGAUUAACAGAACAAUAUUGAGAUGUGUUAUGAUCAACAUUUGCAUGAGCCAGUUUAAUGGAACUGGACAGAAAUGAAAAAUUGUCUUUAUUGGAACACCAAAUCAAAACCAAAACUUUCUGCUGCACUCAAAGCAUCGAAGAAAACUAUCUCGUUUGAGACAAUUAAACGAGAAGUGUUUAGACGUUUCUCGGGUUCGCUCCAUACUUUCCCGGAGGAACUAAUCAUGCUAAGAAAAAAAAAGGGAAAGAAGUCAAAUCAAAAAGAAGAUGAAUCUCCAUCAGAUUCGGAAUAAUAUGGACUGAUUUUUCAAAAAUGUAAUAUUUUAUCUGUAAAGAAAACUGUUGUUUAUUUUAUUUUAUUACGGUUCAGGUUUUUAAACAUAUUCACAGUUUAUAUGAAACAUUAGUGAAAGGGUUUAAAAACCUUAACGAUCUUUAAAAAUCUUCUUUACUCAUAGUCCCGUAGGGAACCCAUGUGCCUCUCCUAAAAUUGUGAAAUACAUGAUAUGUAUGGUGCAUAUGCUGAAAGUAAAUUGUUUCUUUUAAAAUUUUCUUCUAAAACAGUCUUUUUUACUCGGGGAUAAUAUUACGGUAACAGGCAAUAUAUGUGUAUAAGCAUGAUAAGCAAGUAUCUUUAAUUAAGAAAUAUUACCCGUGGGGAUCCGGUUUAGAAUAGGUCCUCAUUACACCUUGCUUGCUGUAAGAGGCGACUAAAUGGGAUGGUCCUUCGGAUGAUAACGCAUAAACCGAGGCGGUGUGGCACGAUAAAGAUCCCUCCCUGCUCAAAGGCCGUAAACGCCGAGCACAGGCCUAAAUUUUGCAACUCUUCACCGGUCUUGGUGACGUCUCCAUAUGAGUGAAAAACUCGAGAGAGGAAUGUUUACUUCAGUGCAUGCAUUCAAUCAUGCCAAAUAUACGUAUAUUUUAUAUGAAGAAUGUGAAAACUCCAUGGCCUCUGAGGAAAAUACAGUACAUGAGUUAAAUAUUUUCAAAAUGAUCUUUAAUCUUGAACAUUUAGAAAAACCCGAAUCUGUAAAAUUUUCUUUUAAAAAAAUUGACACCCCGUUUGAAUGAGCUGCCAAUGAAGGCAGGUUGCAUGUUAUUCAGGCGACCGCCAAUGCCCAUUGACCUUUUGUUUCCUCUAGGGUCAAGAAGUCACGGCCGUCUCGAGUCAUUACACAAUGUCCAGAAAUGGUGUGAUAAAUUUUUUGUAUUUCAGAUAUUUUGAUUGCCAAUAUUUGAAAGAACUUUGUAGAUUCUGCAAGAUCAAUUCAGUUCACUUUAAUGAGGUACACAGUGAUAUUUUAGAGAACAGACAGUACUAUUGAUUUAUGUAGCUUUUUUAAAAGAUAGCUGCCUACAUGUAUAUGCAAAUACGCAACUGCGUCCGCAUCAUUUACAAGAGAGAGAGAGAGAGAGAGAGAGAGAGAGAGAGAGAGAGAGAGAUAUUUGUCGUUAAAAUAUCUGCCUAAAAUAACUGCUAUUUAUUAUUUAAUCGGCAUCAUAUAUCCCAGUCGAAAACUGCUAAAGAAAUUCGCAGAAUGAAUGUAAACUCAGUCUUAGUUCACACGGUUGGCAUAAUAAAACACAUUAGAAAAUAA